rnacentral:sRNA from 1 species
CCGCCCCCGUGUGUGUGUGUGUGUGUGUGUGUGUGUGUGUGUGUGUGUGUGUGCGUACGUGUGCGCGAAUGUGCACGUCUGUGCAGAGUGGGAGUCGGGUAUGACUAAUGUAUUCCAGGCAACUCAAGAAUGCCUCAUUUCACAGAGGAAGAAAUCGAGGCUCAGAGGCCCCACAAGCUUGUAUAACAGAGUGAUCAAGACGCUGUGGUGACGGUGUGAUGACAGGUGGAUUGGGAGGUUGGAGAAUGUUGGAUGUCAAGACCCAUUCCCUCUAGGGUGAGGAUGGUAAUGGGUGUGAAGUGAAUUAGCCAGACAGAACCCGGAUUCUUUCUCUGUGCUAGGAAAAAGCUGUUUCCAACCUCAUAGCCCCUCUCUCCCAUCACUUAAUCAGUCUUAGUCUGUCUCUCCAUGCAUUGCUAGGGGCCCUAUACACAUCAGACUGCGACUCCAAUCCUGACUUGCCUGCCCAGGGGCACAUGACAGGGAUGACCUGGGAAGCCGCUCCUCUAUUCUCAACUGUAUGCAAACAUCAUCACCUGUUCAUGCUACUGGACUCAGUGAAACUCGGGAACACUGUGAGGGGCAGCCUCCCAGGGUCGACUUUCUGCAUCUUACGUGGCUGCCAGCCCAUCCGCAGUGAAGGAAUGGUUUCCUCUGAAUCAUUCCGUUUGGACCGAUGGCAUCCGGUCUCCUCCCCACACUCAACAUAGACUCUCUUUCUGCCUGAGAACAAUCGCUCUUUUCUUCCCAAGCCCUCGUCCACCCUCAUCUUUUACCCCAGCUUCUCAUCUCUCCUGGGAACCCAGUGUUGUUCAGAAACUUAAGCCUCAGAGAUAGUCCAUUCUAACCCAGGUCUAAAUUUGGACCAGUCAAGAGCUGAGAGACAGGAAUGACCCCUGAUCCCUGGGAUCCAGAAGAAGCACUGGUUGCCCUGUAGGACUUGGAACUGGAGUAGAGAAGGGGGGCUGCGGCCUUGUUCUUAAAUGACUCCCCACACUCAUGUUGAAGGCUUGUUCUCCAGUUUGUGGUGCUACUGAGACACGGUGGUAGCUUUGGGAGGAGGUGGGCCACUCAGAGCAUCCUCUUAAAGGGAAAUCUCUCUUCCUCCCUCUUUCCUCCCUCCUUCCUUCUCUACACCCCUUCCUUCCUCUCCCUCCCAGCCACCCUAAGCUGUGCAAACUGACUUUGACACAUGCUUCCUACCUGACAUUCCCUUGCAAUAACAUGGGGUCUGAAACACGAGGACCGAAACCAGUAAAACCCUGACCCCAAACAAACCUUACUGUUUUUGUAAGUUGACCGUUUUGUUUGUUUUCUAACAACGAGGAAAACACACAUCAAGGAGGCACACAGGAAAGACAGACUUCUGCCUCCAGGGUCUGAUGGGUCAAAAGAGGAGAAUUCGACCCGAGACUUGAAGAACUUAUAGGAUUUCAGGAUGCAGAAGGGAGAGAACGGGAAGGUGGAGGAAGAAGCUGAGGAGGCAAAGGCUGAAUGUGGCGGGGUGGGGGGAGGCAGGUACUGAGACUCAAAGAUCGCCCCUGGUCAGCUCUUCAAGGCUGCUGGUUUUCAUAUUGCAUCAAAAACGUCUUACAGCAUGAUGGACCCCAACGCCAGCAUGAAGCAGGCCAGCAUGAGAACAGACUCACUGGUCACCAUGAACGACUGUCACAAGGUCUUGCUGCUCUUUAGCUCUCAGCAGUUGUUCCGACGCCACAUGGAAUCUCUGGAGAGUAGCCACAACAGGGCAGCCAUAGUUUUAGCCCUUGCAUCCCCUCAGCUUUGAAUCUCAGAGGGAACCGUGAGGUUUCCCCCGCCAUCCCGCCUUACCGAGAAUUUGCCCGAAGAUCUCGCUGCUUCCCGGUGUCUCUGAUUGGCUCACAUGCCAUUCCUACUGCUAGAGACGGAGUCUUAUCUGCCACAAAGUGACCAAGAGACUGACCUGACACUGGGAAGAGCAUGAGGACCCGAGUUCGAAUCCCUCACACCUGUGUAGUGAAGGAGGGAGCUUUUAAGGAAGAAUCGUAACCUUGUGGCAUUUACACAAGGGCCAGCAUUGCGGGGCUGUCUCUCUUUGAGUCUGGAGUUCCCAGAAGGCUAGAGUGGAAGCCAGUGAGUUCCAGCUACCCCCUGCCUCCACCCCACUCGGAAGCACUGUAAUUAUAGGUGCGCUCGGCCACACUGGACUUGGUUUAUUUUGACGUGGACAUUGGGAAUGAAACUCAGGUCCUCAUGCUCAGACAGAAGGACACUUAUUCACUGAGCCAUGCCCCUGCAUGCAUAGAUUCCUGCCCUUGGAGAAUCAGACCAUCUAUUGUGCCUUCUUUCUGUACACAGAGCAAUAGUUUACUCCAGCCAUGGCAAGACCAACCUCUGCACCCACCCACUGCCAUGCAUAUACUGGCGUUUCUUCUUUUUUUUUCUUUUUUUCUUUUUUUUCCCGGAGCUGGGGACCGGACCCAGGGCCUUGUGCUCCCUAGGCAAGCGCUCUACCGCUGAGCUAAAUCCCCAACCCCUAUACUGGCGUUUCUUUGGGCUCUGCAGGGGCUUGCGUUUUUACCUCUCAAUACCUUGAUUACAUAAGUGACCUGCUUCUCCCCACAGAGGAGACAUGUCCAAAGCACAGGUGUCCCAUGGAGUUCUCCUUCAGGACCCACAAGCCCCCAGGAUCAAAUGCCUGGGUACCCACAAACCUCUGGGGAGCAAAUACCUGGGGACCCACAAGUCUCUGGGGCCAAACGUUUGGCUUAAUUUUUUUGUUUGUUUUUUGUCUUUUCUUCCUUAUUUUAUUGUGACAAUGGGGAUUGAGCUCAGGAUGUACAGUGCAAGUCUCUCCCAGGCUUCAUUCGCAGUUCUCACCCUCAUUAUUAUGGCAUCGUUAGUGGUGUUUUCCCUACAGGGCCCUUGGGUUCUGCUUCCAGAAGAUGGAAAACUUAUUUAAAGCCCUCCUCAUCCCCAGUGGGUAGAGCUCUGUGAAGAAUAUUGGCAUAAUAUGGUCAUUUAUUUUAAGUUUUAAUUAUUAACUUUGAGUUGUGUGUAUAUGCAUGUGUGAUCUGUGUA